rnacentral:tRNA from 1 species
GCGGUGGUAGCUCAAUUGGUAGAGCACAGGACUGUGACUCCUGGGGUUGCCGGUUCAAGCCCGGUCCAUCGCC